rnacentral:rRNA from 1 species
AACGAACGCUGGCGGCAUGCCUAACACAUGCAAGCCGAACGAGACCUUCGGGUCUAGUGGCGCACGGGUGCGUAACGCGUGGGAAUCUGCCCUUGGGUUCGGAAUAACUCGCCGAAAGGCGUGCUAAUACCGGAUGAUGUCGUAAGACCAAAGAUUUAUCGCCCAGGGAUGAGCCCGCGUAAGAUUAGGUAGUUGGUGAGGUAAAGGCUCACCAAGCCGACGAUCUUUAGCUGGUCUGAGAGGAUGAUCAGCCACACUGGGACUGAGACACGGCCCAG